rnacentral:misc_RNA from 1 species
UCCAAGUUUCCAAGUAGCAUUAGUAAGAUCUAAAUAGGGGAAAGAAAAUAAAAACUAACAGAAGAAAAGGGGGAGAGGGUUGACAAAAUUUACAAAAGUAAUCAUAAACAGAUUGAAAAUUUACUUCACCUCCCAAAACAUCUCAUCACUGAUGAUACAAGGGAAGAGGAGAGGAAUUUCAUUCCAGCAGACCCACCAGGGAAGUAGGAAAUGCAAUAAUAUACAAGUGCAAGAACCUGUAUUACGGAGAAAAGCACAGAAAGAAUAUAGCUGUGAAGCACCAUUGAGACAUAUAUAGUACCCACCAUACUGCCUAUGAAUCCCAAUGUAAAAGGAAGUCUCUCUUUGGAUGUCAUGUGAACAAAUUGAUUCUUGGGACCCUUGAGUGCCAGAAAUGAUGAAAUGAUGAAGACACAUCCGAGUGUAAAACAUAUUGCAAAUUUCUGGGGCAUCAGUACUAUGACAGGCAGGAACAUCGCAAAUGCAAUGAAAACAAAGAACACUCCAGUUGCAAGAAAUAAACCAAAAUACAUGAGAGCUUUUCCUGAAGGAAUGUUGCUGGUGGCAGACUGGAAAUUGCCAGGUAUAUCUCUCACUCCUUUAGACACCACAUUGAAGGUGCCCGUAACGGAGUCGUUUGCGGAACGGACAGCGGCUUCAAGAUCGAACCCAAUGCCUGAUCCAGUGCUCUCAUUAGUAUCUCGCGAAGCGGCGUAUGAGUUCCAAUCUGCCAAUAGAGAUGAUGCGGGUUUUUGCUGUUGAUCUUCGCUACUACCACCCGAAAACCAACCCUGUGCCAUUUUCUGCAUACUCUUUUUUCGUUUUCUUGAAUACCAACACAGGAGCUGGAGAUUUUGCCGAAAAGUCGAAGAAAUGUUUGUUGUAAGAAUAUCGCCGAGCUCAAGCCAGAAAAUUAAGAAUGAAGAAACAAAUGCA